UGGCAUCCCUUGGGAGAACUGCAUUGGUCUCUCAGUUGACAAUGCAGCUGUGAACAUUGGACCACGUAAUUCCAUUGCCUCUAGGGUGCUCCAGAAGCAUCCCAACACCUAUAUUCAUGGUUGUCCUUGUCAUGUGGCACAUAACACCGCCAAAGCUGCAGGAGUGGGAUUUUUUAAAGUGUCCGGUUUUGAUUUGGAGGAUAUGGUAGUGGACAUCGGUUACUGGUUCAAGGGUAGCACAAAUCGGAAAGGAUACCUGACAGAGUUUUGUGAGCUCCAUGAAGCGGAGUACAUGGAGGUCCUCCUGCAUAUCUCGGUCCGUUGGCUAAGCCUUGAACGUUGUGUGACCAGGAUCCUGAGGCUGUAUGAACCUCUGGCCAGCUACUACA